GCAUCGAUGAAGAACGCAGCGAAACGCGAUAGUUAAUGUGAAUUGCAGAAUUCAGUGAAUCAUCGAGUCUUUGAACGCACAUUGCGCCCAUUGGUAUUCCUUUGGGCAUGUCUGUUUGAGCGUCAUUACAACCCUCAGCUACCCGCUGGUUUUGAACCCGAACGGUUCCCCCUAACCGGGGAACCGAGCCGGUUUUAAAGUUGUAAGCUCUGCUGG
rnacentral:rRNA from 1 species